GACGAACCGAGCGAACGUUGUUCGGAAUAACUGGGCUUAAAGGGCGCGUAGGCGGGCUGCCGCGUCCGGGGUGAAAUCCCACGGCUCAACCGUGGAACGGCCCCGGGUACGGGCGGCCUCGAGGAAGGUAGGGGCGUGCGGGACUGUGGGUGGAGCGGUGAAAUGCGUUGAUAUCCACAGGAACUCCGGUGGCGAAGGCGGCACGCUGGACCUUUUCUGACGCUGAGGCGCGAAAGCCAGGGGAGCGAACGGG
rnacentral:rRNA from 1 species